CCUACGGGAGGCAGCAGUAAGGAAUAUUGGUCAAUGGAGGCAACUCUGAACCAGCCAUGCCGCGUGCAGGAAGACGGCCCUAUGGGUUGUAAACUGCUUUUGAACUAGAGAAAACCUUGGUACGUGUACCGAGUUGAUAGUAUAGUUAGAAUAAGCAUCGGCUAACUUCGUGCCAGCAGCCGCGGUAAGACGAAGGAUGCAAGCGUUAUCCGGAUUCAUUGGGUUUAAAGGGUGCGUAGGCGGACUGAUAAGUCAGUGGUGAAAUCUCUCAGCUUAACUGAGAAACUGCCAUUGAUACUGUUAGUCUAGAGUACAGAUGAUGUGGGCGGAAUAUGACAUGUAGUGGUGAAAUACUUAGAUAUGUCAUAGAACACCGAUUGCGAAGGCAGUUCACAAAACUGUAACUGACGCUGAGGCACGAAAGUGCGGGGAUCAAACAGGAUUAGAUACCCUGGUAGUCCGCACCGUAAACGAUGAUUACUCGUUGUUGGCGAUAUGACAGUCAGCGACCAAGCGAAAGCGAUAAGUAAUCCACCUGGGAGUACGCCGGCAACGGUGAAACGUCAAAUGAAUUGACGGCUUGAGGACGNGCGAGCGACGACGAGGGAGAGG
rnacentral:rRNA from 1 species